AGUAAUACAUAAGUAACCUGCCCUAGACAGGGGGAGUAACCAUUGGAAACGAUAGCUAAGACCGCAUAGGUACGGACACUGCAUGGUGACCGUAUUAAAAGUGCCUCAAAGCACUGGUAGAGGAUGGACUUAUGGCGCAUUAGCUGGUUGGCGGGGUAACGGCCCACCAAGGCGACGAUGCGUAGCCGACCUGAGAGGGUGACCGGCCACACUGGGACUGAGACACGGCCCAG
rnacentral:rRNA from 1 species